rnacentral:ncRNA from 1 species
UGAAAAACUAUGACAGGGAAGAGUAAACAUAUUGAUGCCUUACAGAGAGCAGGGUAAAGGUGAAAGCCUGCAGGAUAUAAAUAUGUUGAAAAUCACCCUCGAGUUGCAGGCUGAAUUAAGUAAGCCGUGCCGGCAUUAUUUUUCUGCCGUUAUUAAAAUCAAGUAAAAAAUUGGGUGGUACCGCGACAGACUUCUCGCCCCAGGG